UAGUUGUUGGUAAAUUGGAUAUUUUAAUUGCCUACGAUUUAGCGAUAAUGUUUGUUGUCCGUAAACUGGUUUUAACAAAAAAUACUAUUUUGCUUUAAACGGUGCCGUUUUUUUGAAGCUUAUUUCUCCUCUACUAUCAAUUUUAUCCCUUUUUGUUCCAUUUCUCUUUUGUUUCCUUUCAUUGAUUUUUACUCUCAAUACUGCCACCAUUGAUGGCGCUCACCACCACCUCCAUUUCUCCAUCACUCACUCUCUCUCUCUCUCUCUCUAUCAUUCACUCUCUCUCUUUUGGGUAACUUCUUUUGCAUCUUUUAUUUUUCUUUUUAAAAAAAAUUGAUAUUUAUGUUAUGUUGUAACAAAUUUUAAUAGUGGAUGUCCUUUAUGAGAUCUUGUAUGGGUAGGUGUUGAUGAAGAGAUAAUUUGCGUAAUGCUAAAGUGAAGAUCUUAAAAUUGAAGAUUUGAAGGAUUUAAGUGUUCUUCUUACAACAAUUGUUCAGGUGAGCAUAAAAAAUUAAAUCUUUAAUCUAGAAGGCAUGAUGAUGGGUGUAGGUGUUCAUAUGAUGGAGGUCUUAGAGGUAUUUUGCUGCUCAAGCAUUAAGAUUGAGCUUUAAUAAGUUCUUUAAUUUGGACAGUCUCAUUGGAGUUUAUGUAUUCAAAUUUUUUAGGAUUUAAUUUGGACAGGGUGUCUGAGCUUAAUAUUACCACUUAUUGAUUUAAUUGAGCUCUUCUGCUAUCAUUGUUGGCGAUAAAGAAAGAAAGAGCCAAUGGUUUUGUUUUCUUGCACACCUUAAUGUUGUGUGCUAAUUUUAUUAUUCUUUCACUUGAUUGCCAAAAAUAGCUGGGUGUAGAUCUCUUAAUAUCUUGCUUUUGGAGCUGCACUUGAAACUAAAGAACCUCAAAUAUGUUGAAGAUGUUUCUAUUGUUAUAAUUUUUAUAAUUUAUCCAUCUCAUGACUUCACAAAAUUCCAAUUAAGCUGUUGCAAUAGCCACUUGGCCAUUACUUGUACGUUGAGAGAUUAAAGAGAGAGAUGACUCUGUCCCUCUCCCUCUGUUAGUUAACGUGCAUCUAUAGAUGUCAUAGGCAGCUGGUAAACUCUUCCUCUCUCAAUCAGAAGAGGACAACCUCAAGUCUUUCCUAUAAAAAGAGAACCAAAAAAAUCAAGUUAAACACUGUUUUUUUUUUUCCUUUUUUUUUUAGAAAAUAAAAAAGAAUUACCCCUCUUAACUACUGAUUUUACUGAACCUUUUUACAUGUUCUCUUGCAAAAUAGAAUUUUAGUGUCUUAAAUGUGUUUGAUAUAAAAGAAAUAAAAAAUUGUCCUUUCAAAGUCUUGAUUUACUGCUUCAAGAAAUGCAAUUAUUAGCAAGCACAACAUGCAUGCAUUGAGUAGUACCGCAAUAUGUUGGUAAGAUUUAUUAUAUAAUAAUUUGCAUCAAAUGAGAAAAUGCACGGGAACUACAUAUGGUUUUGAAUUUGCAGACUUAGUGAGGUCCUUUUGUUUGAAUUUUUAGAUAAUAGUAUUGUAUUCUUAUACUGCAAGUAAGCUAAACUUGUUGCUGAAAGAUACUCGAAGAAUAGAAUGUCUUUAGGUACUGACGGUUCGGAACCAUUAACCCCACACUGGCGGCUGUGUAACAUAUUAUAAGCAUUGGAGAUGACUUGUAAGAUUUUAUCAUAAUCUAGUUUAUCAAUACUUCGAAUAUUUAGUUAUAAUGGUGGUUUUUAAAGACUUAUUAAAUUUAUGACAUAGAAUUGAUAGUAUUAUCCAUGAGAAGUUUAUCAUAAUGUAUUAUUAUAAUUUUUUAAGGUGAAAAACUUGGGCGACAACCAUAUCCACGAGAAGUUUUCGUGCAUGUCCACACGAAAGGACGUGAAGGGAAGACUUUUAUUAGAUAAGUCCAACGCUGUUAAUGUAAGUUAUUAAAUUCUGAAAUAAUGUGUCUUUUAUUCGGUCGUUAUUACCACUUUUACGUGUUUCAAAUGUUAUCAGGAAGAAAUUGAGUCUAGGCGAGAGAAACUAUCACAGAUUAAUGAGAUAGUGAAUGAAAAUGAAUUAUAUAUGCAGUCUUUGGGUGGACAAAGCAAUAGGUGGGUUUACGGUCUUGGCUCCCAAGCAUCCGAGUGUUACAAGACUGGUGGUGCUUCCUCUUCUUUAGCGACAUUUCCACCUGCCCAACCUGCAGAACCAACACCUGAGUUACUGAACACAUUAAAUAAAUUGCAGCAGCAGAUUACCGAGCAGAACCAAUUAAUUCACUUUCUACAAGAGUGUUGUGAAUGUCUGGAAUAACACAUGGUUAGGCCCGAUAAUACAAGAUCUCAUCUACCUGCAUCAAACAAUAAUGACGAGCCUCCUACUUAGUAGUGUCUAUAUUUGACAUACUUUUCUUGUUAAUAGCAUUUUUACUACUUUGAUAUUGUUAUUUUCUAUUGUUUGUAUAUUGUCUACAUUAUGUACAUGUGUACUUUAGUAUCCUUUGUUGUUAUUGAUGGCUUUGAAAUUUUUAUGUUCUAUUA